rnacentral:rRNA from 1 species
GAUGAACGCUGGCGGCAGGCCUAACACAUGCAAGUCGAGCGAGCGGCGGACGGGGGAGUAAUGUAUGGGGACUGCCCGAUAGAGGGGGAUAACUACUGGAAACGGUGGCUAAUACCGCAUACUAUCGGAUAACCCAUAUGGGAUUAGCUAGUAGGUGGGGUAAAGGCUCACCUAGGCGACGAUCUUUAGCUGGUCUGAGAGGAUGAUCAGCAACACUGGGACUGAAACACGGCCCAGACUCCUACGGAGGCAGCAGUGGGGAAUAUUGCACAAUGGGCUAAAGCCUAAUGCAGCCAUGCCGUUUGUAUGAAGAAGGUCUUAGGGUUGUAAAGUACUUUCAGCGGGGAGGCGUUACCCGCAGAAGAAGCACCGGCUAACUCCGUGCCAGCAGCCGCGGUAAUAC